rnacentral:tRNA from 1 species
AUCUAGAUAGUUUAAUAAAAACAUUAUAUUUUCAUUAUAAAAAUAUCCUCAUAAAUUUUAGAUA